GUCCACGCUGUAAACGAUGUCGACUUGGAGGUUGUGCCCUUGAGGCGUGGCUUCCGGAGCUAACGCGUUAAGUCGACCGCCUGGGGAGUACGGCCGCAAGGUUAAAACUCAAAUGAAUUGACGGGGGCCCGCACAAGCGGUGGAGCAUGUGGUUUAAUUCGAUGCAACGCGAAGAACCUUACCUACUCUUGACAUCCACGGAACUUGGCAGAGAUGCCUUGGUGCCUUCGGGAACCGUGAGACAGGUGCUGCAUGGCUGUCGU
rnacentral:rRNA from 1 species